rnacentral:tRNA from 1 species
CAUUAAGUGGCUGAAGUGUCCAAGCAUUGGUCUCUUAAACCAACUUAUAGUAAUUUACAAGUACUCUUAAUG